GAGUAAGAGGAAUUCCGGUUGAUUCAGCUUCUACGAGGAACCUAGUGAGUGAGAAUGGCUCAAUUUUUGGCUGAUCCAUAGAGAACAACACUAGCAAAUGAUCCACAUUAGCUACAGGAGGAUCCAAAAUCUCUGUCGUCCUCUGAAACACAUUCUCAAUAGCGCCGCGUCUAUCCACCCAAUCAAUAGAACCUACCAAAACCUUAUCCCCAACCAAAACUCUCCUCUUAAUCUUCUUCAA
rnacentral:misc_RNA from 1 species